rnacentral:rRNA from 1 species
GACGAACGCUGGCGGCGUGCCUAAUACAUGCAAGUCGAACGGGUUGCGGACGGGCGAGUAACACGUGGGAAACUACCCAUCAGUGGUGGAUAACACUUGGAAACAGGUGCUAAUACCGCAUACUGAUGGAUGGUCCCGCGGUGCAUUGGCUAGUUGGUGAGGUAACGGCUUACCUAGGCAACGAUCCCUAGCUGGUCUGAGAGGAGGAUCAGCCACACUGGGACUGAGACACGGCCCAGACUCCUACGGGAGGCAGCAGUGGGGAAUAUUGCACAAUGGGCGCAAGCCUGAUGCAGCCAUGCCGCGUGUAUGAAGAAGGCCUUCGGGUUGUAAAGUACUUUCAGUCGGGAGGCGUUACCGACAGAAGAAGCACCGGCUAACUCCGUGCCAGCAGCCGCGGUAAUAC